GUUACAGAUAGCUCAUUUGUUAGAAUGUGAGACUCUUAAUCUCGGGCUUAUGGGUUCAAGCCCCAUGUUGGGCA